UACGAAGGGGGCUAGCGUUGUUCGGAAUUACUGGGCGUAAAGCGUGCGCAGGCGGCUCAUCAAGUCAGGGGUGAAAGCCCAGGGCUCAACCCUGGAAUUGCCUUUGAAACUGGAGAGCUCGAGUCCGGGAGAGGUGAGUGGAACUGCGAGUGUAGAGGUGAAAUUCGUAGAUAUUCGCAAGAACACCAGUGGCGAAGGCGGCUCACUGGCCCGGUACUGACGCUGAGGUGCGAAAGCGUGGGGAGCAAACAGG
rnacentral:rRNA from 1 species